rnacentral:lncRNA from 1 species
AUGGCCGGCUUUAGGGAGGCUGCAGAGAACAAGUGGAGCAGCAUUUACUCCCGCUGCCAGCCAUCUGCUUUCCGUGCGGGUCCCAGGCUGCGGGGCAGGAGCUGCGAUGGAGUCCAGGUGGGAUGCGCUGAGCACGCUGGGGGCCAUCACCGCCUCCUGGCUGCUGCUGCGGGCGACUUGGGGGGUGGCCCGCGCAGUGUACCUGUACCUGCUGCCCCAGGUCCGCCGCGGCAACCGUUGGCUCCGGGCGCAGGGAGCCUGGGCAGUGGUGACAGGAGCCACCAGCGGCAUUGGCAAGGCCUACGCGCACGAGGUGAGUGGGUGAGGGGCUCCGUGUGGAUUUGCCUGUCACCAGCUGCCCCUUCCCCACCCUGUCAUCCCUCUCAUUGUCACCUGGAUUCAUUCUUUCAAAACCUAUGUUUUGGGCCAGAGAUUUAGCUCAGUGGUUUUGCUGCCUGCUGCACAAGUGCAAGGAACCGAGUUCAAUCCCUGGUACAAAAACAACGACAACCAAAACAGCUAUUUUUGGAGCCAGGGAUUUAGCUCAGUGGCACCCUGCCUGCUCAGCAAGCACAAGGUCCUGAGUCUUAUCCCCAGCACCAAACCAACCAACAAACAAACCUAUUUAUUGACCACCUACUCUGUGUCAGGCAUCUUCUUGGUACUGGGGAUGUAACGGUGAACAAAACAGAUUUUUUAAAAAUCAAAGUCCUAAAAUCUACAAUAGACAUUGGAAAACGGGAAGAAAAUGUUUAAAUGAGAGGGAGAACAAGGGAGGAGGUAGGGGGAAAGGAAAGAGGGACAAGAAAAGACAGAACCUUGACAAAAUGGGCACAAAACUAUUGUACAUAAGGGGGGAAUGGGAAAGAAAAGAAGAGGCAGGAUACAUCAUGUACUGGUACAUAUUCCCUACGAUGAAUGUUAUCAUUAUGUAUAUCUAAAAUAUACCAAUAAACAUUUUUCUAAAAAAAAAAAUCAGGGCCAGGGAUGUUCCUCAGUGGCACUGCACUUGCCUGCCAAGUGGAAGCUCCUGAGUUUGAUUCUCAAUACAAAAAAGAAAAGAAAAAAAUCAAAGUCCUGCCCUCAUGGAACUUUAUCUUGUAGCCAGGGGAGAUGGGUGUAAGCAAGAUAAAGUACAUGGUAUGUCAGGUGGUGGUCAGGAUGGAGGAGAAAGUCAGGAAAAGAAGACUGAUUCCAUCAUUCAGGAGCUUCCUGGAAGUCUCUUUUUGUGCGUGUCUUUAGAUGUGAUAUUGUGGCUCCCUCUGUGUCCUAAAUCAAUUAAAAAGUUUGACUUCUCAUGGUCAUUUUGACUUUGCGGAAGAGCCAGAAGUUGCAUGGUGCCUGUUCCAGUGAAUGCAGUGGAUGAGGACAAAGGGUAAUGUCUACACAAGCCUACCUUCCCAUUGGAAGGCAUCUGGAGUGGCGGUCGCUAUAUUUUUGAUCACACUAUGAAGGCAGGAAAGAGGACUUCCAGAAUAACUUCAGAAAGUGGCCAGAAUGCUGGGGUAAAUGUGUUGGAAGCAAGAGGGAACAAUCUGGGGGAGAGUGUGUUUUUGUUUUUGUUUUUGGUACCAGGGAUAGAACUUGGGACGUUGCUCUUGUGAGGCAGACAACGGAACCACUGAGCUAAAUCCCUGGCCCAUCCAAGAAUACAUUUUUAAAAUUUUAAUCAUUGACAUAUAAUUUGAUGACACCUUAUCUGUAAUCAACUUUGUCAUUUGGGAAGGGUUUUUGAUUGUUCCUUUUUAGAGACAGUGUCAUAUGAAGUUCAGGGUGGUUUGUAAAAAUUUUUAAAUUAUUUAGUCUUUUGAGACAAGGUCUUCCUAUAUAGUCCACACCGACCUUCAAUUUAGUAUGUGGCCCGAGUUGGCCUCAAACUCACAAUAAUGCUCUGAUUCAGCCUUCCACAUGCUGGGCUUACAGGAAUGUACCACCACUUCCAACAGAUUUGUCUCUUCCUUUUUGUUCUGCUCUUUUCUGUUCUGUUCUGAACUCAUGAUUAGCCCAGGCUGGCCUUGAACUUGCUGUGAUCUUCUUGCCUCUGCCUCCCCAGGGCUGGGAUCACAGGCGACCACCGCCACACCCAGUCCUUCUUUUCUCUCACCUGUGUGCCCUUUCUUUGUCUUGCCUUCUCCAGCUGACAGGGAUCCAGUAUAAUGUUGAAGAGGCCCUCAGAGUGGCAUCACACCCUGAGCCUGCGGUCAGGG